rnacentral:rRNA from 1 species
CCCUUAGAUGUCCUGGGCCGCACGCGUGCUACACUGAUGCAUACAGCGAGCACUUCCCGGCCCCGAAAGGCGGCUGGUAAUCAGCAAUAUGCAUCGUGAUGGGGAUAGUUCUUUGGAAUUCUUGAACUUGAACGAGGAAUGCCUAGUAGGCGCAAGUCAUUACCUUGCGUCGAUUAAGUCCCUGCCCUUUGUACACACCGCCCGUCGCACCUACCGAUUGAAUGGUCCGGUGAAGCCUCCGGAUUGGCGCGCACCUCGGUGCCGCCGAGAAGUUGGCUAAACCUUACCAUUUAGAGGAAGGUGAAGUCGUAACA